UGGACGAAAGUCUGAUGGAGCAACGCCGCGUGAGCGAUGAAGGCCUUCGGGUCGUAAAGCUCUGUUGUUAGGGAAGAACAAGUACCGGAGUAACUGCCGGUACCUUGACGGUACCUAACCAGAAAGCCACGGCUAACUACGUGCCAGCAGCCGCGGUAAUACGUAGGUGGCAAGCGUUGUCCGGAAUUAUUGGGCGUAAAGCGCGCGCAGGCGGUCCUUUAAGUCUGAUGUGAAAGCCCACGGCUCAACCGUGGAGGGUCAUUGGAAACUGGGGGACUUGAGUGCAGAAGAGGAAAGCGGAAUUCCACGUGUAGCGGUGAAAUGCGUAGAGAUGUGGAGGAACACCAGUGGCGAAGGCGGCUUUCUGGUCUGUAACUGACGCUGAGGCGCGAAAGCGUGGGGAGCAAACAGGAUUAGAUACCCUGGUAGUCCACGCCGUAAACGAUGAGUGCUAAGUGUUAGAGGGUUUCCGCCCUUUAGUGCUGCAGCUAACGCAUUAAGCACUCCGCCUGGGGAGUACGGC
rnacentral:rRNA from 1 species